UGUCUCUCCAGGAGGAGGCUUCCUCGGCAGCGGCAGCGACUGGCUCCAGCAGCCUCUCCAAGCUGCCUUCCUUCAUCUCCCUGCAGUCCUCGCCGAGCCCAGGAGGCCAGCCCAGGGCCCGGACCCCCAGGAGCCCCCCAACCAAGGACUCAGGGAAAACUCUGCACAUCAAACCCCGUCUGUGAGGGCCCAGGGGGCCAGCCCGCGCCUACCUCAGCCCCUCGUUCCUGGAGAGGAAGAAGGCCCAUGCCCUAGAGGAGAGGCCGCCUGCCGCCGAGUCCCCCCCGGGAGCCCCGGGGCCGUGGCUCUGCCCACCUGGCCCUCAGCCUUCCGUGACCAGUGUGUGCCCAGGGCUCUGCCCAGCCAGCCCCUCUGCACACCCACCUUCCUCCCACUCCCCCCAGCCCAGAGGGGUGCCGGGCAGGGCUCCCAGCCAGGCCUGUGCCCACUGUGGGUGUGAGCAGCAGUGCUACGCACCCCCCACCUCCCCCCAGGACUCCUGCCAGGCUCCCUGGUGGGUGUUUUAUGUUCAGCAAUAAAGGUUCUGUCCUGUG